ACGGGUGAGUAAUAUAUCGGAACGUGCCCAGUAGUGGGGGAUAGCCCGGCGAAAGCCGGAUUAAUACCGCAUACGACCUAUGGGUGAAAGCGGGGGAUCGCAAGACCUCGCGCUAUUGGAGCGGCCGAUAUCAGAUUAGGUAGUUGGUGGGGUAAAAGCCUACCAAGCCGACGAUCUGUAGCUGGUCUGAGAGGACGACCAGCCACACUGGGACUGAGACACGGCCCAGACUCCUACGGGAGGCAGCAGUGGGGAAUUUUGGACAAUGGGCGCAAGCCUGAUCCAGCCAUGCCGCGUGCGGGAAGAAGGCCUUCGGGUUGUAAACCGCUUUUGUCAGGGAAGAAAUCCCUUGAGCUAAUACCUCGGGGGGAUGACGGUACCUGAAGAAUAAGCACCGGCUAACUACGUGCCAGCAGCCGCGGUAAUACGUAGGGUGCGAGCGUUAAUCGGAAUUACUGGGCGUAAAGCGUGCGCAGGCGGUUUUGUAAGACAGAGGUGAAAUCCCCGGGCUUAACCUGGGAACUGCCUUUGUGACUGCAAGGCUUGAGUGCGGCAGAGGGGGAUGGAAUUCCGCGUGUAGCAGUGAAAU
rnacentral:rRNA from 1 species